rfam:Medicago truncatula strain A17 chromosome 1, whole genome shotgun sequence.
GAGCAGAUGAUGAAAUAAAAUCGAUAAUUGCUUAUUGGUUAUUCCAUGAAGCUAUUCUAAUCGAGCUUUUUAAAGUUGAUGCUCA